ACGGAAGGCAGCAGUGGGGAAUAUUGCACAAUGGGCGAAAGCCUGAUGCAGCGACGCCGCGUGAGUGAAGAAGUAUCUCGGUAUGUAAAGCUCUAUCAGCAGGGAAGAAAAUGACGGUACCUGACUAAGAAGCCCCGGCUAACUACGUGCCAGCAGCCGCGGUAAUACGUAGGGGGCAAGCGUUAUCCGGAUUUACUGGGUGUAAAGGGAGCGUAGACGGUUUGGCAAGUCUGAAGUGAAAUGCGGGGGCUCACCUCCUGAACUGCUUUGGAAACUGUCGAACUAGAGUGCAGGAGAGGUAAGUGGAAUUCCUAGUGUAGCGGUGAAAUGCGUAGAUAUUAGGAGGAACACCAGUGGCGAAGGCGGCUUACUGGACUGUAACUGACGUUGAGGCUCGAAAGCGUGGGGAGCAAACAGGAUUAGAUACCCUGGUA
rnacentral:rRNA from 1 species